AAGAUUUUAAGUUAACUCUAAAACUCUAAGCCUUCAAAGUUUAAAAUAUAAUUAUUUUAUAAAUCUUA
rnacentral:tRNA from 1 species